rnacentral:rRNA from 1 species
UCAAGCGUUUAAGGGCGUGUGGCGGAUGCCUUGGCACUGAAAGCCGAUGAAGGACGUGGUAUACUGCGAUAAGUUACGGGGAGCUGUAUGCAAGUUUUGAUCCGUAAAUUUCCGAAUGGGGAAACCCACCACUUUAUGUGGUACUUUAAACUGAAUACAUAGGUUUAAAGAGACAACCUGGAGAACUGAAACAUCUAAGUAACCAGAGGAAAAGAAAUCAAUUGAGAUUCCGUUAGUAGUGGCGAGCGAACGCGGACUAGGCCAGUAACUUUGUUAAAAAAAUUUGAAUAGUUUGGAAAAACUAACCACAGAGGGUGAUAGUCCCGUAUGAGUAAUGUUUAACAAAUUUCUUGAGUAAAGCGGGACACGUGAAAUCUUGCUCGAAUAUAGGGGGACCACCCUCUAAGCCUAAAUACUCUUCAGUGACCGAUAGUGAACUAGUACCGUGAGGGAAAGGUGAAAAGAACCCCUAUUAGGGGAGUGAAAUAGAACCUGAAACCGCAUGCCUACAAUCAGUCGAAGCUCUUUUUAGAGUGACGGCGUACCUUUUGUAUAAUGGGUCAGUGACUUAAUUUAUUAAGCAAGCUUAAGCCAUCUAGGCGUAGGCGUAGCGAAAGCAAGUCUUAAUAGGGCGAUUAGUUUAAUGAAUUAGACCCGAAAACGAAUGAGCUUACCAUGAGCAGGUUGAAAGCAAGGUAACACUUGCCGGAGGACCGAACCAGUUGACGUUGAAAAGUCUUUGGAUGACUUGUGGUAAGGGGUGAAAGGCCAACCAAAUUCGUAGAUAGCUGGUUUUCCGCGAAAACUAUUUAGGUAGUGCGUUGAAUAAAUAUGCGUUCAGAGGUAGAGCACUAAAUGGGCUAGGGGGAAGAGAUUCUUACCAAACCUAAUAAAACUCCGAAUGCUAGACAUUGUUCUUCAACAGACAGACUGUGGGUGCUAAGGUCCAUGGUCGAGAGGGAAAAAGCCCAGACCACCAGAUAAGGUCCCCAAAUUAUGAUUAAGUGUGAAAGGAUGUGGAAAUUCCUUAACAGCCGGGAGGUUGGCUUAGAAGCAGCCAUCCUUUAAAGAUAGCGUAACAGCUCACCGGUCUAAUAGAGUUUCUGCGCCGAAGAUGUAACGGGGCUAAAAUCAUAUACCGAAUCUGUGGGUUUAUAAAGUUUUCGAACUUUAUAAGCGGUAGCGGAACGUUCUGUAAGCCUGUGAAGGGAUACCCGUGAGGGAUCCUGGAGGUAUCAGAAGUGCGAAUGCUGACAUAAGUAACGAUAAACGAAGUGAAAAACUUCGUCGCCGAAAAUCCAAGGGUUUCUGCGCAAGGUUAAUCCGCGCAGAGUUAGUCGGCUCCUAAGGCGAGGGCGAAAGCCGUAGUCGAUGGAAAUAAGGUUAAUAUUCCUUAACCAGAUGGUAGUGACGGAUUUUGUAAGUUGUGAGUUCUUAAUGGAUUGAACUUGCCGCGAAGAGGUCCCAAGAAAUAGCUCCAUCAUGAAGACCGUACCCGAAACCGACACAGGUAGAUUAAUAGAGUAUAUUUAGGCGCUUGAGAGAAUGAUGUUGAAGGAACUCGGCAAAAUGCUUCCGUAACUUCGGGAUAAGGAAGACCCUUUUGUAGGCAACUAUAGAAGGGUGGCACAAGCCAGGGAGAAGCGACUGUUUAUCAAAAACACAGGGCUCUGCUAACACGUAAGUGGAUGUAUAGGGUCUGACGCCUGCCCGGUGCUGGAAGGUUAAUGCGAUGGGUGCAAGCUCAUUUCUGAAGCCCCAGUAAACGGCGGCCGUAACUAUAACGGUCCUAAGGUAGCGAAAUUCCUUGUCGGGUAAGUUCCGACCUGCAUGAAUGGCGUAACGAUUUCUCCGCUGUCUCCAACAUCAACUCAGUGAAAUUGAAUUCUCCGUGAAGAUGCGGAGUUCGCGUAGUUAGACGGAAAGACCCCGUGCACCUUUACUGCAACUUUACAUUGGUGUUAGGAAAAACAUAUUUAGCAUAGGAGGGAGACUUUGAAGCAAAAGCGUCAGCUUUUGUGGAGUCACCAGUGAAAUACCUCUUUUGUUUUUCUUGACAUCUAACCGCUAGCCGUCAUCCGGCAGCGAGACAUUGUAUGGUGGGUAGUUUGACUGGGGCGGUCGCCUC